rnacentral:rRNA from 1 species
GAUGAACGCUGGCGGCGUGCCUAAUACAUGCAAGUCGAGCGAACGGACGAGAAGCUUGCUUCUCUGAUGUUAGCGGCGGACGGGUGAGUAACACGUGGAUAACCUACCUAUAAGACUGGGAUAACUUCGGGAAACCGGAGCUAAUACCGGAUAAUAUUUUGAACCGCAUGGUUCAAAAGUAAAAGACGGUCUUGCUGUCACUUAUAGAUGGAUCCGCGCUGCAUUAGCUAGUUGGUAAGGUAACGGCUUACCAAGGCAACGAUGCAUAGCCGACCUGAGAGGGUGAUCGGCCACACUGGAACUGAGACACGGUCCAGACUCCUACGGGAGGCAGCAGUAGGGAGUCUUCCGCAAUGGGCGAAAGCCUGACGGAGCAACGCCGCGUGAGUGAUGAAGGUCUUCGGAUCGUAAAACUCUGUUAUUAGGGAAGAACAUAUGUGUAAGUAACUGUGCACAUCUUGACGGUACCUAAUCAGAAAGCCACGGCUAACUACGUG